AGAUCCAUAAGCUCAAAAUGGUAAGAGUGCUCUGCCCAAAAGAAGAGGGUUGAGAGGUUGGUGGUUCAAAUCCACCUGGAUCAG
rnacentral:tRNA from 1 species